GAUUCCUUUCGUUCGGAAAAGGAGGUGGCUGCCCUGAACGUUUCCAUCGUCCUCACGCCGCUGCCUUAUCCAUUUUCUCUCCUCACCAACCACACACUCCCAAGCAAACCUCCAUUCCCAUCCCCUUUCCUCACUACGGAGCACGGAGGAAGAGCACCAAGCGUCGGCGAUGAGGCGGCCAUGCGCCGGUGACGAGGCGGGCAGCGGAGGACACGCGGUGGGCGGCGGCGUGGAGGAACUCUACUAGAUCCAACAUCGGGACAUUGUGCGGCUGAGAUGGGCCGAGCUGCGCUGUCCUCGUCGGCGUCGCGCCUCCCAAACUCCACCGGCGUUGAGCCUCGAGCUGGGGCUCGGCAGCCUCGUCCAGCCGCCUCUGAGCAGCCUUGCGGUGGCCCGGCAACAUGCGCGGUGUCCCGCCACAGGGAGGCUCGCCGGAAGAGCCGCUCAUCGGGGAGCGCACGAGGAGCAGCUGACAGAUAGGCUCGCCGGGAAUGCGCGUCGUGGCCUCCGUCGGUCAAUGACGCCCUCAUGCCCAGUGCCAGAGCAACGGCUGGGGGCAGAGGUAAGUGGCGGCGAUGCCCUCAAGCGGCGCGUCCUACAUCGACAGCUGACGGUCGUCCAUGGGCCAGUGCCCUCCGCCGGAGGAGUCGCUGGUGCUCGCUUAGGUCGGGGGCUUCCUCUUCCAUUUUCCCCACGACGCGUGCUUGGACAGGAUCUGGGGAGGUCGGGUGCUUCCUCUUCCAUUUUCCCCGCCAGUCGAGUGAGUAGGAGCAGUUUGCUGCUCCUGUGGAAAAAGGCCUGUAGGGCCCGAUGGUGGGGCGUUCGUGCUGGGGCGUUCUCCUCCCGAACGAGUCGUUCGGUCGAUGCCCCUCCCGUCCCGAACGAAGCCUUCGGGGUCCUUUUUUUAUAUAAAUUUGAUCAAACUUUGCUUCUUAUAAGGGGCCGUGCAUUGUGUUUUCCUAGAGGAAAGCGGAGCUCCAGGGUUAGCCUCGUUUGAAAGAAGAAACAACUUAUAUAUCCGCAUCUCUGGAAUACACAGGGUUCUCUGGAA